rnacentral:rRNA from 1 species
CUGGCUCAGGAUGAACGCUAGCGGCAGGCUUAACGCAUGCAAGUCGAGGGGCAGCGCGAGGUAGCAAUACUUGGCGGCGACCGGCGAAAGGGUGCGUAACGCGUGAGCAACUUGCCCGUAUCUGGGACAUAAGCGGUGGAAACGCCGUCUAAUUUCCCAUAACAACAGAGGCCGCAUGACCUUUGUUUGAAAGAUCCGUCGGAUACGGAUGGGCUCGCGAGACAUUAGCUAGUCGGCGUGGUAACGGCACACCGAGGCGACGAUGUCUAGGGGUUCUGAGAGGAAGGUCCCCCACACUGGAACUGAGACACGGUCCAGACUCCUACGGGAGGCAGCAGUGAGGAAUAUUGGUCAAUGGGCGCAAGCCUGAACCAGCCAUGCCGCGUGAAAAGGAAUAAGGCCCUAUGGGUCGUAAACUUCUUUUGUGGUGGAGCAAUAAGGUGUACGCGUACACCGAUGAGAGUACAUCACGAAUAAGCAUCGGCUAACUCCGUGCCAGCCGCCGC